UGUUUCGGCAAGGGGGUCAUCCCGACUUACCAACCCGAUGCAAACUGCGAAUACCGGAGAAUGUUAUCACGGGAGACACACGGCGGGUGCUAACGUCCGUCGUGAAGAGGGAAACAACCCAGACCGCCAGCUAAGGUCCCAAAGUCAUGGUUAAGUGGGAAACGAUGUGGGAAGGCCCAGACAGCCAGGAUGUUGGCUUAGAAGCAGCCAUCAUUUAAAGAAAGCGUAAUAGCUCACUGGUCGAGUCGGCCUGCGCGGAAGAUGUAACGGGGCUAAACCAUGCACCGAAGCUGCGGCAGCGACGCUUAUGCGUUGUUGGGUAGGGGAGCGUUCUGUAAGCCUGUGAAGGUGUGCUGUGAGGCAUGCUGGAGGUAUCAGAAGUGCGAAUGCUGACAUAAGUAACGAUAAAGCGGGUGAAAAGCCCGCUCGCCGGAAGACCAAGGGUUCCUGUCCAACGUUAAUCGGGGCAGGGUGAGUCGACCCCUAAGGCGAGGCCGAAAGGCGUAGUCGAUGGGAAACAGGUUAAUAUUCCUGUACUUGGUGUUACUGCGAAGGG
rnacentral:rRNA from 1 species